AACCCGGUGAUCUAGCCAUGGGCAGGUUGAAGGUUGGGUAACACUAACUGGAGGACCGAACCGACUAAUGUUGAAAAAUUAGCGGAUGACUUGUGGCUGGGGGUGAAAGGCCAAUCAAACCGGGAGAUAGCUGGUUCUCCCCGAAAGCUAUUUAGGUAGCGCCUCGUGAACUCAUCUUCGGGGGUAGAGCACUGUUUCGACUAGGGGGUCAUCCCGACUUACCAACUCGAUGCAAACUACGAAUACCGAAGAAUGUUAUCACGGGAGACACACGGCGGGUGCUAACGUUCGUCGUGAAGAGGGAAACAACCCAGACCGCCAGCUAAGGUCCCAAAGUCAUAGUUAAGUGGGAAACGAAGUGGGAAGGCUCAGACAGCCAGGAUGUUGGCUUAGAAGCAGCCAUCAUUUAAAGAAAGCGUAAUAGCUCACUGGUCGAGUCGGCCUGCGCGGAAGAUGUAACGGGGCUAAACUAUGCACCGAAGCUGCGGCAGCGAUAUGUAAAUAUUGUUGGGUAGGGGAGCGUUCUGUAAGCCUGUGAAGGUGUGCUGUGAGGCAUGCUGGAGGUAUCAGAAGUGCGAAUGCUGACAUAAGUAACGAUAAUGCGGGUGAAAAACCCGCACGCCGGAAGACCAAGGGUUCCUGUCCAACGUUAAUCGGGGCAGGGUGAGUCGACCCCUAAGGCGAGGCAGAAAUGCGUAGUCGAUGGGAAACGGGUUAAUAUUCCCGUACUGGUGAUAAUUGCGAUGGGGGGACGGAGAAGGCUAGGCUAUCCGGGCGACGGUUGUCCCGGUUUAAGGAUGUAGGCAGGUGAAUUAGGCAAAUCCGGU
rnacentral:rRNA from 1 species